GACCUGGGCCAGCUCUGGAGCCUCGGCCCUGCUGCGUGUUCAGAGCUGGGCCUGAGCUCAGAAAUAAAAUCACGGCUCUGUCAGGGCCGUGACACCGUACAUGUGGGCUGUGCCCGGAUCCCUGCCUCUCCAGCUCAGGGAUGCUGUGGGGCACGAGCUACCCCAAGCAGAACAGCACCACUCGGUGCCAUGUCCCGAAAAUAAACAGCAUUUACCGCAGUGAGUGCAGAGCUGAAGGGUGAAAACCUCAACCACGCCAAGGUUUUUCACUCAACAUAGCCAGGGUUUGUUACUGGAGCAAAUCAAGGGAUAUCUGGAACUAUUUAUAGCCACAGUGGGUUAGAGAUGUCCCAGGUCCAAAAUUCCUCCUCUUGGGGAUAAGCCAGCACAAGGGAAUAAGAAAUGCCAUCAAACAAAACAUUCAUCAACAGCAGUGCUUCCAAGGGGUUUUUUACAUAAAACAGGGAAAUGAAACGCAGGAGUGACUGCUGAUUUUCUGACAGGAAUACUGCAUUAAUGUUGGAUUUGCCUUUAUCUUACACCUCCCAUUUCAAAUGAAAGCUGCUGUUGUAUUCACAUGUUUCCUGCAUCUCCAUAUUCAGUGUUGCUAUCCUUGGCUGUUCUUAGGUUUCAAGAUUUCCUUCUAAACACCACAGGAAAGGGAUCUCAAACUGGAGAAAAAGAUAUUUAAAUCUCAGUCAAAGGGAUUUCAGUACAACCAAGUAACAAAAAAGUUUGAAGUUUAUGCGGGGGUUAUUUUGCCACUGAUAAUGAUCCUGUUCUGCGACAAGAAUAGCAACCAUGUUUAGAUCAAGGUCAUUAAAUUAACUUUGUAAUCACAACUGAUAGCAGAAGGAGAAAUGAUAAUGCAAUAUUAGUGGUUUAAGCCUGGAAAUUACUCCAGAUAACCUCAUCUCAUUUGUAUCACCUCCCCGUCUCCCACCCGCCAGCUCUGGCCCUGUUUUCCCCAAGUUUUUGAGCCCUCCAGGACACGCAGGUUGCAUUUCUUCAGGCACACAUUCAAAGCGCUCAGGGAUAUCACCAGGGACCCUUCUCCCCACCUUUUUCCACCCUUCCCGCCGAUCCCUGAUUUUCAGGAAUUACACCCUCCUUCCACCAGCAGAGGGAAGCAGAAAGAUGCGUUAAACCCGCAGCGCUUCCCCAGCCUGCUCCAGACCGGGCUCCUUUUCAAGCCCAGCCAACACUCUGAGCUGCCAAGGGCCUCCUGGGCUUUCUGGAUGCACCUUCCCAGCUGCUUCCUCAGCUGCGGGAAGGAGGAUGCCCUUCCACAGCCUCCUGCUGUCUGGGGACUACGUGGUAAGCCCAGAACUCCCAAAAUUACGUACAUGAAGGAUUUCUGAGACUCUGUACCAGCUCAUCCCAACAUGGAUUCCCUCAUCAAGGGAGUAACAUCUUCCUUCCAAAGACUUCCCACCUAACAAGGAACAACGAAUUCACUCCAGAUUUAUUCCAGAGUCUGCAGCCUCAGUCACACAAACCCGCCAGGGAAGCAAAGGAAACUCCUUCCAGCCCUGCAGAGCCACACCACACACCGAGCUCCUCAGCUGCCUGCCUGAUGAUGCAAGGAGUGAAUAAGCACGAAUAAAGACACAGAAACUGGGUGUUGUUUGUAGAAGUGAGGAGCAGAGCCCUCCGCCCAGCACUGGGGAUACCGGAGCUCUUGCACAACUCAGCUCUCAGCCUGCUGCUCCUUUUUAUGCAUCUCUGUCCCUGUGGGCACUUUUCCACCAGGAGCACUGGGGAAGUUUUCCUUCCUCCCCAGCUGGAGGAGGAAGCAGCUCCUGGUCUGUGAGCAGCAGAGCUGGGAUGCCAGAGUGGGAUUCCUGCGUCAGGAUUUCCCUCACACUCCGCACACCACGAGCCUGUGCUGGCCUGCCAGGCUGGCUCACGGGCAGCUAAUUAGUGCCCUAAUUUCUAAGAAUUGGAAGAGGAUCAUUAAUUAAAAUUGGUUUGAAAGCUUCCAGUUUUGUAGAUGUUGAGUAAUUAAAACAACCAAUGGGCU